rnacentral:rRNA from 1 species
CGGGGCAGAGGGGUCCGGGGUCGGGGGUGGCCUGUUUGGGAUCAGAGUGGUUCGGGGUGUAGAGCGCGAUGAGGGAGGAGGUAAGAGCAAUCAGCGGCGGCGACGGCAACACGGAGGGAGGAGAGAGGGGAUGUUGGUGCAGGGGCCCUCCUUCGGCGGCAAGCACCGCGGUACGGCGACGGCCCCACAACGCGUGCAAAGCAAGGGGUGUCGGGGAGGGGGUAGGAGCGAGUAGUGGCGGCGACGGACGAUGAGGGCCCCGCCGGCUCGCGGUUGCCACGCCGUUACCGACAAGGUCGUCCGCUCCCGCUCCCGCGUACGCAAUCCGCAACCCACGCACCUGUUCCUCCCUCCUCAGUUGAACUCCCUCCUCUACUCUCUCCACUCCCAACCGUCGCUAACGUCCCUCUCCUCCUCAGACCUCCGUUGUCUGCUAAAAAAUCCCACCAGCCGCUGGAUGUCGGAUGUCCCUUGCAGGUAUCGUCGUCGUCCGCUGGACGUCGUCGAGGAAGGAUGGAAGGUACCUGCUCGAGAAGCCUCUGCGGCAGAUCGGGCUGGUGCCGUUGCUGAUGGGGUGCGUGUUCUCCUUCCAACUAAGUAAACAUUUUAAGUAAGGUGGCUUCGGUAGACGAGGCAGGUGGUUGGGCGGGUCUUUCCAUCAAUGUCACUUAACUACAAGCGUGACUCCGGCCUCCGCUCUCAACUCCCGUGCCUCCAGCCACCGUUCACGAGUCCUCUCUUCUCCUUCCGCCGCCGCGACCCGCCACCGACGCCAAAUGUGCUCUCCCUCCACUGGACGGGUCUUUCCAUCAAUGUCACUUAACUACAAGUAUACUUGAAGUUACUACACUUGAAAAAUAAUCUAGACUCAACGUUAGGAGUUAAAAAAAUCCAAACUCAUCGUUACGAGGAAGAGAUGAUCGAUGCUGUAAAAGGUACGAAAAAGAAGAUUAUAGCAUAUCGCAGGUACGGACACCCAAGUUGAACUGUUCGAAAAAAGUGGAAGGUAGGACAAAAUUCGAGACCCUACUAAAGAAGGUAUAAAUACCUCCCCCUCCUGCGGUUGAUGAUCCUCUUCCUAGUCAAAUCGUUCAUGUACUACAUUAAGAGAAUACUAAUACCCAUCUACGGAGGAAAUAAAUCAAUGGUCUCAACAAGUGAUAACUUAUACGUUUAAGUCGUAGGAAAUAUAUUACCCUGGAAUACUUGAGAAAAACUUCUAACGACUCUUCGCGUUGGAAAACUAGAAGCUCUUGGCGUUCAAACGACUGUAACUUUUAUGUAAGUAAUACGUUCUGCUUACCACUCUUUACACAAUAAGGGAUAGGAAGGUAAGAUAAACGUAUAAGCGCGUCAUACGAAUCAAAAAAAGGAAAGUUCUACUUAUAAGAUGUGUACUCUCGUUAUAUGAACCAUAAUAACUACGAGUAUAUUAAGGACCUGGACCUUAACAACUACCGAACUCCGAAUUUCAUACAAUACACAACGUAUGGAUUAUUUAUAAUCUUUCGAUUACAACGUCGAACUGUCUACGACACUAUUGAAGAGGAAAAAAACAAACAAUUAUAGGUGAAGCUUGACUCGUCGGUACUAGGCCUAAAGGAGAUACAUCGAUACUCUACGUACAGCAAGCAAUAACACAUAGCAAACGAUUUUAUAACUAAUAAACUGUUACUUGUGUACCGUUACGGAAUUGAUAAGUUGAACGGAUCGAGUCUUAAAAUUGGUUAUCUCUUCAAAAAAACAACGAAAGGGAAAACAAUCUAUAAAACGAAAAACAUACAACUCCCCUCUACCUAUACCGGAGUCCUGAUUUGCGUGUCUGGUGUACUUCACUAGACUACCUUCCAUUUCAUAAAAAAUAACCGUUACGAUUACAGACCUGGUAGAGUUACCAAAAUUGAGAUACUACAAGUCAAAUCGUAUAGUGUACAUGUUUACGUAUAUAUGUUUAACACCAUCCGUUGAGUGAUAAAUCUGCUGCGCUGAUAAGAUAACUAUUCCUCCCAGGGUGGUAUGAGUACACUCUCAAUCCGCACCAUCACCCAUCAUAAAAGAGUAGUAGGUAAUACACAAAGAAGACAGAUCGAGCUUCAACGAAUCAAUCUAUUACUAAGCGUUUAAGGUCGUAACGUACAACGGACUGUGAAAACGUAAUCGUAACUUAACGUCGGACGUAAAAACAUCGGGCGCUCCGCACAUUUACAACCUGAUAACAAAGAGGCGACUACGUGUACAAAGCGGUGUCUCUGUCAUGAGAGACACACACACUAGAGACCUUACUCAAAAAUACAAAGAGACACAACUCAUGAAAACAUUAGAGGUGCCCACACAAAGCAUAAAAGAUACAUAGGAGACAGUAAGAAAAUUCACUAAUUACAAAAGAAAACAUCAAAAACUAUAAAUCCACGUCAGUGCAAAGUAAACAGUGUCUGGACAUGGGCAAUCCUUUUAGUAUCAAAGUAAAACUAGUACAAAGAAAUUCAACAAGUCACAAACAAGUAAUACAUCAUCUCAUUCUUCAUGUAAAACAGGUAGUCAAUUUAGUGAGUACAGUGUAAGUCAAAUAACUAAACCAAAUCAAAAACAAGGAAAGAGAAGCAAGGAAGUCAAAAAACAAGGAAAUAAAUCAGUAACACGAACGUAGUAAACGGUCAUAAAAUCAGGUAGAGUUAUCUGGGGAUACUAAGAACUAUCAAAUAGAGAAAGUAUCUAGUCUGAAAAGGUGAAACAAUCAAUCAGAUUAAAUACGAAAAAAGUUAAAAAUCAGAAAUGUACUAAAUCAACCUGUCACACAAACCAUAAAGUUAUCAAGUCAUCAAAGUAUGAAAGUAAAUUAAUUUAUCAGAACAAAAAUCAGAGUCAUGAAGUCCAAAUCAAAGGUUUGUUCAUGAAAAAAUGAGUACACCAAAAGCCAGAAAACUGAUAUACACCAAAAGUUAGAAAAGUAGAGAACCAAAUGAACAGUAAGAAUUAAAUAGGCGGAAUGAUAAGAGUCAGAACAAAAAAUAACUCUCUGUGUUGGAAAAGUUAUGUGAAGAUAAAAUUAAAAAGUAUUGUUGCCGACAAAAAAACAAAGUUGAAACUGAGAUACGAUAAUUUCAUUUGGCUCAUAUAAUUUUAUUUGGUUGAUAUAAGUAUAUACGGAGUCAUUAACCAUGUUGGCUAAAAAUAACUCUCUCUGUUGUAAAGUUUUGUGAAGAUAGAAGUAAAAAGUAUGGUUGCUUAUAAAAACACGAUUGUACACUCAAUUAAUAAACCUUUUUUAUAUUAGUAUAUACAUAACGGUUGUUAAAAAUACAAAUUUUGUUGGUUAAAACACUUUUCUCACCUCUCUUUCUAUGUACACGUUAAAGAACUACAAUGUCGCCUACCUAUGAGCUAGAAAUUUGUAUUCGUGUCUACUUAUCCAUGUUUAAGCUCCUUUCCGGUUACUUUAUCAACAGACAUGUGUAUACACGGUCAAAAUAUGGACCAACAGACCAACGUAAUAAACAGACCAAAGUUAAGUCAAACUCAUCUAACAAUAGACACUCGCUAUGAACGAUGAUAAACGUGGGUACGUGGUUAAACGUAUGGAUAAAAUCCGUGUCUUUGGUUGGUACUGACUUUUAGUACAUAUAUAUUAAAUGAUACUAAGUACCACUCUUUUAGUACUAAAUUAUUUGCUUUCCACCAAACAAAACGAUUGUCAUGACUCAUAUUUACAUUUAGCGUCUAGCAUGCGACGACGAUGCCCGAGGUACAACAAAUACGAUCUGUUGUGUUGCCACGAACACAAUAGAUAUCAACUUCAGCGUUAAAUUAUAAGAAACUAAAUACGAACACAAUAUACACCAACUUCCCUGUAGGAACAAUCAAACGUACCAGAUACAUUCUUCCCCGUCAUGUUACGAACAGUUCAAACAAAUAUAAGACUACCGACAACUUAAGACCUGUUACCUCUGCACUUAAACAAUGUAUGUAUCCAUGAUCCGUAUCCUAUGAAAUGUGUAACUACUGUACAUCAAAAUCUCUUGAAGACUUUUAAGGUUAAGUCCAAAAGACACAAGGUAAGUCCUUCUUGUGUAUCAGACGUGACCCCAUAUUUUAAUAGAUGAUGAAUGGAAACACAGAGCUGUAUACGAACACUACGUAGCACGACGGUCUCCGGUUGUAAUAGGUCAUAGUAUCACUACGAUUUUUACGGAUAACCAAUGAGGCGUAUAAGAGUAGACUAAAGAGUAUAUAUCUAUAAUUAAAGGAAAGUACCCUCCGGAAGUAAUGUAAAGUCGCCGCCAACGCCUACACUAACCGCCAACUCCCUCCCAGAGGCUGAUCUCGUCGUCCUCGUUCCACGAGCUCCUUCAAAUCUAAACGGAGAUGUAGGAGAGAGAAAGGAGGUGAAACAAGAACGUAAAUCUACUAUGUUAAACACUAGUACACAUACACGUAAAUACUCUAGAAACGACGAUCCGUGUCUCAAAUACCAAUGACUUUAACCCAUUAUCUUGUACCAACAACACGGAAAAAGGGAACAAGAAAACUUUACGUUGUACUGUCAUCGGUUACAGUACAUAGUCCCAACAUUUGGAUAAUCUAAACCCUAUCUCCUUUCAUACUUCUAGAAGAAUAAUAACGUUUCAUUUUCAACUAUAAUCACGUUUGAAUCCACUAGACCAGGCUUCCCCAUAGAGUCGAAAUACUCAACUAUCAUAUAAACGCAGAUUCUUAUUUGGAAUCGAAAAUCUAUCUGAAAUACUCACUUUCAUAAGACCACAUAUGGUAGGAAACACGUCCUAACAGUACCAAUAACACAUACAGUUAAAACAACUGUUUUAUAUAGGUUUACUAUAGAAAAAGCCACAGAAUACCAUCUAUAUAAACCAGGCGACAAAGUACGUAGGAAGCCCAAAUACUAAUUAUAAGGGUCUAUAAACUUGUUUUAAAUCGAUAAUUUAUAUGUAGGGUCCUUUAAAUGUAAUAAUGUCACCCCGUGAGGAAACGUGCCAAAAGUCUUAUUCUCUAAAUUGGAAAAAACGUCAUAGUAAGAGGGACUGCCUAAUGUACAUCCAACAACAAGAUUAAUGUUCGUUCGAAAGUCGAGUACCAACAAUAUAAAAACAUAAAAGGUAUCCUGUUAAAAGACCUAAUUAUAGAUAUGAACUCUAGAUCCUCAGGUGGGCUUAAGUCAGAGGUUCUUCGGCAAGUAGGUCCUAGGUGGUUUUAAGUUUACUAUACACUUUUCGCACACGAUCUACACCGGGGAUAGGUCGCAAAACUAGACAGGUGAGUCCACGAAAACAGAUCCACCAUUGUGUUGUUCGACGAAUAGAAUAUCUUUGAAUAGUAUGCAUGUCAGGAUACAAGCAAGAAGAACGUACAAUCUCUUUCUCGAAAACGGGGAUACACUCAUUAGGAUACCCUUAAUCGUUGCAACCGACAUGAAAGUUCGUCCGACUUAGGCUACGUUCAAAAACCUCGUCAACCCAAGGUCUUGUUUGCUGAUCCAUAAGGGUUUCUUCAGUAAGGUGACCACCGAUCGUAUUAUAGAAGUACAGCCCUGUUGCUAGGUUCGUUCGUUGGUAGUAAGAUGGUCGAGAACAGUAGCGACUUCUUUAAUGUCACCAAUGUAACAAUGUCUUUCGGAUACUGUUAAACGCUCACAACAAACACGUUAUAUGACCAAAAUACCGUCCACGUGCAUACUUAAGUCUACCAUCACCAGAGGAAGAAAUGUCAAUAUUCUUAUUAUUUUUAUAACUAUUACCAGAAAGGUGAUAAUGUUGGAGUAUCUAAUGUAAUGGACGAAGGUAAUCUUUCCUUAACACCGAGUACCCAAAUGACCUACUAGAAAAACUAUCUGUAAAAUUUUUAUCGUACCAAAUUGUGUACCCGAAAAAUAAUGAUCAUAGCUUAUACAGGAACUUUUUACUUUAAUAAAAGUAGUUGAUGUACCGAAAUCGUCCAGAGACGCUGUAAAAUGUACGUAUACGGAGUC